ACCCUCUCACUCCCAGGUCCGUGCUCUAUCCCACUACACCAUGCUGCUUCUCCUGAGCAAACUGUGAAUUACUGUGAAUUACUGAAUGUUCUGUAGCCCUCAUUCUCAGGCUCCCAAAUUGGAAUGAAAAUAAGUUCUACUCAUAACAAUAGAAUCACUGCUCCACAUAUAGACAUCCUCUUCUACAGAAAGCAGAGAACUUGGAUGGGUUUAUUCUUUAGAAAGAAUUGUAAAGGCAAAUAUAAUUGUAAAUUGAAUUUGGAGCAAUUUAGAUGGGAUCCUACAUUUCUGCUAUCCACAUUUGUUCCUUGGGAAUUUAGGUUUGCAAUUUCAUUGAGUUGUUUUUCAUUAAAGCUAGACUGCCCAAAAUUUAAUCUAUGUGUCUUCCUAUUUUGUCUUUGCUUACUUCAGGAGCAUAACCCAAAUUUAGAGAAAACAAAGAGAUGGAAUCUGUGGAAUGAAGACAAGCAAAUUCAUUUUCAUUUUCACAAAUGAAAACCAGUGCAGCUGCCAUAUUUGUCUCUUUAUAGUCUCCCCUUCUCUUUUCUUGAAAAGCUUUAUGUUGUCUCUUGCUAUUUUAUUCAAUUGUUCAUUCGUUUCAAUUAUUAAUCAUUUCAUUUGCCUUCCUCAACUUAUAGAUGCUUCCAUUACUUCCUUUCUUGGUCCAUUUUCCCCUCUCAGCUUCUUAUUCACCUCUUAAAAACCACCUGAUGAAAUUGGAGGGGCAAUUGCCUUCUACUGUUCAUCUGAUACUGCAUGUUCAAGAGGUGUGACAAGAGGAACUUGACAAAGAAUACAGAGGGACCUUUUGUCACAGCUACCCACUUCUGGAAUGGUAACUCUAAAACGUCAAACUGAAUUUGAUUCUGAGAAGCCCUUGGAUCCAAGAUUUUCAAAAUUGAGGAGGAAGCUCAGCUCAUCUGACCACCUAGCAAAUGACACUUUCUCAGACCUAUAGCACAGAGAAGGAACUUGGAGAAGAGUUGCAUUGUUUGGAGUGGGAGUUAAGAACAAAAGAUGCAUCUUCUUUACCAGGCUUAAGUAGGCACAAAACCUAAUGGAGCUCAGUCUUGAACGACGUGGCAUGGCAGACGACUACUAGAAGCCAACAACAGAAAAUCUACCAUCAUCAUCAAAAUCUUCCCAGACUGCAGCUGGACUGCUCAGCCCAUCUCAUGGCUCUCAGGGCUCUCAGCAACUUCCUCUACCCAACCACUUCACCACCUCCUUGGGAUCCCACCCUGGUUCUAGUCUGCAUCACCAAGGCCCGCCUCCAUUCGGCCUGCUCUGAGAGAAUGUGGAUGAAUGUCCAGUGGGACAGAGAAAAAUACUUCAGCCUGGCACCACCUCCACAAAAACUCAAGAAGGCUAUGACAGCUGGUGUGGUACUGAACUAUCUUUGGGUCUUUCUGUCAUCUUGGUGUUUCAUUCUUCCGCCCUCAUGUGUCUGUCAUCAGCCUCCUUUCCCUUUGUAUUUUUACAUUCUGAGCUCCUCAAGGACACUGACCUUGUUAAUUCCUGUGUAUUCUUUCUCAGCACUUAGUUCAUUGCUCUGCAAACUUUAAGUGCUUAGUAACUUAAUAAUA